rnacentral:tRNA from 1 species
GAAAUAAUUAAAAUCUAAGCUUCUAACUUAGAAUAAAGCGAAUGUACUUCGUUUAUAUUUCU